UACGUAGGGUGCAAGCGUUUGUCCGGAAUUAUUGGGCGUAAAGAGCUCGUAGGCGGUUUGUCGCGUCGAAUGUGAAAACCCGGGGCUCAACCCCGGGCCUGCAUUCGAUACGGGCAGACUAGAGUUCGGUAGGGGAGUCUGGAAUUCCCGGUGUAGCGGUGAAAUGCGUAGAGAUCGGGAGGAACAUCAGUGGCGAAGGCGGCCAUCUGGGACAACACUGACGCUGAGGCACGAAAGCGUGGGGAGCAAACAGG
rnacentral:rRNA from 1 species